UUUCAACUAAGACAACUUCACCCUGUUCCUACCUUGAUUUCUUUGAAUCUUAUAUACCAAAGAAUUUACAACUACGUGAAGCUAUGUGACGGAAAACUUUGUACCCUCAAAUAGGGAAUCACUGUUUGCACACCAUGUAGUGCAGUUAUCCUCUUACCUUUGGUGACUUCCUUCUAGAUUCAAGCCCCUACUGUAUUACCAUGACCGAUGGGCAAAAGGAUUACAAUGUGGAGAAGAGCUUGGGCCAAGCAAUGUCCAUGUUAAGUACAGGCCUACCUCCGAGAUAUUGCAGGUUUGGCUCCAGACCACCACUAGAGUAAAUAUCACAGUAAAGUUAGAUGAAUUUUUUGUUUUUCUAGUGCAUAUAAAAGUUAUGUUUACUUUGUACUAUGGUUUAUUAAGUGUGAGGUAACAUCAUGUCUAAAAAAUGACAUACAUACUUUACUGAAAAAGUACUUUUACUAAAAAACGCUAACCAGUAUCUGAUCUUUCAAGGGGUCAGUCAGGAAUCACAAAUCACCAUAACAAAUAUAAUAAAAAUAUUUUGAUAUUGCAAGAAUUACCAAAUGUGACACACAGACAUGAAGUCAGCAAAUGCUAUUGGAAAAAUGUUGCUGAUAGACAUGCUUGACCAUAGGUUUGCCACAGACCUUCAGUUCCUGAAAAACACAGUAACUAUGAAAUGAAGUGCAGUAAAACGAAGCAUAAUAGCCUGAGGUAUGCCUGUACUAGAGAUACUGCUGUAAGCAAAAUACACAAAGUCUCUGUUCUCGGGAAAUUUCUUACGAACACAGACUGGCUUUCUCUGCAAUGGCAUUUGAAUGGGAAAAACAAAGAGAAAUGACCACACUGUCACCUGCUCUCCUUGGCCUCCCAGUUUUAGGCUUAACAGUGCCAACUGGUUUCCUUCUCUUAGUUUCCAUUCUGUCCCAAAAAAGAAUGUGCUGGGCUUAAUCCAUCACAUGAUUUGGUUCCUUUGGGAAUUGUGUUCACUUGUGGUCCAGUCAGCUCUGGCUGGACAGGGAGUGGGUGUGGCAGACUGGGUAAAGGAGGGGAAUGGAAGAAGCAAGUGUGUACGGAAAGGAAAAGACUGGAAGAGACAGUGACAUCUGUAGGAUGCUUACUCUCUAUUCUCUAUCCUUACCACUGCUGCUCUGAGAGUUCACUGUCCUCUAGAUGCUGUCACUGCACAUUGUACUCAGGUUCCCAUUAGCUCAUGAGCUCCUUAAAGGUAGAUGUGAUAUUACACUCGUUUUUCUAUCCUCUGUCUCUAGCACAAGGCCUGGCAUAAAGCAGGUACUGAGUGAAUGUUUAACAAAUUAAUGUCACUGUUUUUCAUGUUGUUACUUAGAUGCUAUCUCUUUGGCAAAGACCCUCACGUCAUUGCAAUUAGUUGCUCUGUUCUUUGUACACCUGCACAACUGUAACACUUAUUUCCUGCCUCCAUGGUGCUUUUGCCUUUUAAUGUAUCUAUUUAGCAUGUCUCUCUAAAAUGUGAACCUCAAACAGCCCACUCUGCCUUCAUCUCUGUAACCCCACCAGCAUGUAAUCAGUUGCCUUGCAUCUAGGAAGUGGUCAGCUGGUUUUUAGCUCUGCUGGUUUUUAAUUGAACAAAUAGUACUGACACUAACUUCAGUCCAAAUAGCACAUGUAUAUAACAUUCUUUAGCCCAAUUUAUAAAAUUUUAUAAAAAUUUAAUUUUAUAAAAAGUUAUAAAAGGAGUAAUCACAAUUAGCUCAUUCUCAAUUUACAUCAUUUUUUUCAUCUCACGGCCUGCUGGAUUUAGGGAGUGAGCCUAUAUUCUGAUGCACUCAGAGUAUACAGAGAAUACAAAUAACUACGAGCUACAUAAGACUACAAAUUAUUUAGAAUUCAGUGAAAUUUAAAAUUCAGUUCCUAGAAAUUUGCUUCUGGCCCAAAGGAAGUAACAAAAGACCUAUCUGAAAUAGCCACAAAACUGGACAAAUGUGUAAGACAGUGAUGUUUAGGUCAUAACAUCAGGCAGUGAGGGGUUAUGAUCGCUGAGAGAUGGAAAACAAAUGAGGGGAGCCCUGAAUUCGCGUACCAACUUAACAGAAUUUCCAGAUAUGACACAGGAGGAGAACCCCACCGAGAGGCUGCAGACUGAGGUGAGGUGACAGAGGGCAGACAAAUGCAGCUAAACUGUACCAGAGAGUGGAAACCUACAUGGAGAGCCCAACUCUGGAGAUUUGUAGAAGGUACAGAUUUAGUAUUUGAGAGAAAUACAGACCAGUGCAUGUGAGGAAGAAAGUACCCCAGGCAGGGGCAGGGAACACUUGAAAGGAUGAGAGGGGGACAGUACUUGAUGCUCUCACAAGCUGCCAUUGCACAACAAACAGUAUUCAACAUUAUCAUUAUCGCAGGAAAGUUCUUUUGGGCAGAACUGUCUCUUAAAUGCUUCUUAACACUGCUUAGUAGGUCUUAAUCCUAGGUUCUUCACUUUGCUCUUCUUGGAAACAUUCUGGUUCACAAAUUAAAGGUUUCUAGAAGCCAUAGGAUACCUUGUGUUACUUUUAAGUUUACUUUUUACUUAGGUUCUCUCUUCCUUGCCUGUCCUGUCUUGUCCUUUCUUUUUUCCUUUUAGGUAUAUACCCAAAUUCUAUCUUUAAAAUGUCUCUAAUGGAUAAGCAUUUUCUGUACUUGUAAUAGGCAGGCAAUAUACUUAAUGAUUAGUGUUCUGAUAUUUUAAUGACUUAAAAAUAUUCAGUACAGGGCGCCUGGGUGGCUCAGUGGGUUAAGCCGCUGCCUUCGGCUCAGGUCAUGAUCUCAGGGUCCUGGGAUCAAGUCCCACAUCGGGCUCUCUGCUCAGCAGGGAGCCUGCUUCCUUCUCUCUCUCUAUGCCUGCCUCUCUGCCUACUUGUGAUCUCUGUCUGUCAAAUAAAUAAAUAAAAUCUUAAAAAAAAAAUAUUCAGUACAAAAGGAAAUUUGUACUGCUUUUAGUGCCACUUUUUUAACUUAGAAAAGUAUUCUUACUACCAAACAGAGCUGUAUGGUACACGCGCACUUGCGUGUGUGUGUGUGUUUUCAUGGUUUUCCACCAGUACAGACUGAAAACACAUUAUUUUUUAUUCUUAUAUUUGACUUUCAUUAAGAAUAGGAAUUGCUUGCCUGGAUUCAUACCCCAGCUCUGACAUUUACUGGUUAUUUUAUUUUGGGCAGAACACUUAGCCUCUCUCAUUCCCUUUCGCCACAUCUCUAAAAUGAGAAAAAAUUACUACAUUGCUGGGGCACCUGGGUGGCUUAGUCAGUUAAGCAUCUGACUUCAGCUCAGGUCAUGAUCUCAGAGUCCUGGGACUGAGGCCUGUGUCAUCAUCACCACACUCAGCAGAAGUCUGCUUCUGUCAUCUUUAAAAAAAUUACUACCUUGCUUACAGGGGAGUUGUAAAAACUGCUGGUAAUAUAUGUCAGGUGCUUAGCAAAUAAUAGAUCUUCAAUAGGUAGUUGUGAUUAUAUUGUUGUCGAUGCUUAUUAAGUAAUUGAGCAUAUCAAGUAAAUUAUAGGCAUCACCAAAAGGAGUUUGCUUAAUAGCUUGUGUUCUGUGAUGUGUCACUCUCCUAAGUUUUUGGAGGGAAAAAGUAAAAUGGAGGAGAAUUGAAAUGUGAAAAAAAAAAAAUCCACCUGAAAAAAAAUGGGGUAAAGGCCUUUUUAGAAA